CAGGAAACGAGAAAAAAGACCCUCAUUCAUGGAGACCACAGGAGAAGACAGAACAUCCCAUCCCUCAUGUGGACACUUCCACCGGUUGCUAAAACGGAUCCUUGGACGCUUUUGAGCUUCUUGAAGAACCCAAAUAAGGACGUAGGGUGACCAAGGACAAACAAACACUGUGGCGUUUAGAAAUGAAGACCAAGGAAUGGGAGGGAAUGUGUAUGUGGCUAUUUAAUAAAGUUUGGAUCACAAAUUCAGCUUCCUUUCUUUUCUGCCAGCAUGUGGCAAUGGAUGAAAAGAGAAAGGGCAGCGAGUGCCAGGAGAAAGUUCUCCCCAAACUGAACCUCGGGAACAGCCCCGAAGGUGUAUUCUCCAACUGGGAUGGUCGGUACAAUGGUAAGCCCACACCUCCUUGUGAAACGGAAGGCCAGUGGGAAGGAUCAAGUACUUUUCAGUAAAGAUCUUCACAGUUAAUGCUGUGAGCAGCAGCAAACUUUGGCACAGACACACGAGCCAGAUGAGGACCCCAGUGGCAUCGGCAAGGGUCUCUACUGAACCAAGGGCUCACAGAUUGGGUAGACAAGAAGGUGAGUAAGCCCAAGAUUCUUUUAUCUCUCUCCUACAUCUGACUUAUUAAAUGUAUUCUGGGUAUCAGAAGUCAGGUUGUCCUCUGGCCUGCAUAGAGAAAACUGACAAAUGAACCAUCUCUUCAGACCCAGGAAAAACUGAACUAAACUAAGUAACUGUUACCCUUAGAGACUGUGAUUGAAAUUUUGUCUUGAGUCAGGAAACAUUGUGGCUUAGCAAGGAUUGAGGUAACAGGGUGACAGAGAGCUCCUUGGCCCAAGGGGGGGGGGCAAAAGUUGUUCUUUGCUGGUUGCUGCAACUAUGGAACAGAGCUCUAGAGCUACUAAAUGUGAUUUCUCAAGAGAAUAGGGACACCAUUUUAAUAUAAAGUUAAGUUAAUUUUACAAAUUUUUGACAUACAAAUAUUAAUGCCAGGUGUUGAGUCUAAGCAGAUGGCACUGCUGGCCAUGCCCAGGCUGUGGGCAGCCCCUGGAUGGUCCCUGACCUGACACCCUACUGAGUUAGCAAGGGUCAUUUGUGACAAUAUUGGCUCUUGGUAUUCAUUCUAGCUCUAGCAGGCUGAUUAUGUGUGUAAUGUUUUCUUAGUUUUAUAACUCAGCAUCUAUCUCAGCAGCCUGAUAGGGAGCCUUCAAAGGACUCAAGAAGUGGUCCCUUGGGUAAAUUUAAUGAGGAAAAAAUACGGUGGAAUUCUUUUUCACAGCAUUCUUAAUAACAUGAUUUUAUGCUUUUCUGUCCCACACAUACCUCAUCACCCUCUUUGAUAAAGAAAAUAGAAUGUAAACAAUCAACUUCCUCUGGUUAGUUUACCACGCCUGACCUGAUUUGUAGUGGACAAUGGUUCAAAUAGCUAAGACAAUCAGGUGGGCAACAAAUUAAUUAACUUGAUAAUAACAAUCAAGCUCUGGGUAGAUCUAUUGAUCACCAUCUGGGAGAAGGCAUGAAAAAAUGAGAAAUUUGAUGUGGACCUGGUGGAAGAGCCCGAGAGUCAAGUCUCUGAAAGCAAUCGUGUGGAUUACCAAUGGCCAAAGACAUGAGAAAACAAUCAACUCUGGGAGAAAAAACUUAGAAAUGAAAACCCAGCCAAGCUUGGGGAAACUUCAGUAAAUGGAAAGGUCUACCCAUUGACAAAGAUAAUCACGAUACAUAAAGAUUUAACAUUUAAGAGUUAGAAAACCAAGGACUGCAUAUGACAGCCCAAGAGAAAGAGGAAGCAGGGCCCUUGAUCUUGACUUUCCCAACCUCUGAACUACAAAACCAACCUUCAUCAUUUAUCAGUCACCUACUCUGAGAUGCCCUGUUAUAGCGCCCAAAUGAGCAGAGACCAAUAUAUUACAAUGAGCCCAGAUUUUAUUGUAGACAGGGUUUCAUGCCACAUAGCCCAAAAUGACCUUGAACUUCUGAGCCACCUGCUCCUUUCUCCUAAGUGUGGGGAUUUCUGGCUUUGUCUCUGUAAUGCUCUCCAUUGACUGAGCUGAAUCUCCAGCCCAUCAGUGCACCUGUGAAGUGACAGCGAGCACCUUUGUUAAACAUCAUUUAAGCAU
ensembl:lincRNA Gm15271 predicted gene 15271